rnacentral:rRNA from 1 species
CAGUAGCCACGGGAAUACGUAGGUGGCAAGCGUUGUCCGGAAUUAUUGGGCGUAAAGGGCUCGCAGGCGGUUUCUUAAGUCUGAUGUGAAAGCCCCCGGCUCAACCGGGGAGGGUCACUGGAAACUGGGAAACUUGAGUGCAGAAGAGGAGAGUGGAAUUCCACGUGUAGCGGUGAAAUGCGUAGAGAUGUGGAGGAACACCAGUGGCGAAGGCGACUCUCUGGUCUGUAACUGACGCUGAGGAGCGAAAGCGUGGGGAGCGAACAGGAUUAGAUACCCCAGUAGUCCCUGUCUCUUAUAC